AUUGAACGCUGGCGGCAUGCCUUACACAUGCAAGUCGAACGGUAACAGGUUAAGCUGACGAGUGGCGAACGGGUGAGUAAUAUAUCGGAACGUGCCUAGUCGUGGGGGAUAACUGCUCGAAAGAGCAGCUAAUACCGCUUACGACCUGAGGUUGAGAGCGGGGGACAGCAAGACCUCGCGCGAUUGGAGAGGCCGAUACCAGAUUAGGUAGUUGGUGGGGUAAAGGCCCACCAAGCCAACGAUCUGUAGCUGGUCUGAGAGGACGACCAGCCACACUGGGACUGAGACACGGACCAGACUCCUACGGGAGGCAGCAGUGGGGGAUUUUGGACAAUGGGCGCAAGCCUGAUCCAGCCAUGCCGCGUGCGGGAAGAAGGCCUUCGGGUUGUAAACCGCUUUUGUCAGGGAAGAAAAGGUUCUGGUUAAUACCUGGGACUCAUGACGGUACCUGAAGAAUAAGCACCGGCUAACUACGUGCCAGCAGCCGCCGUAAGAC
rnacentral:rRNA from 1 species